rnacentral:rRNA from 1 species
UAAAUAGCCAGGUUGACUUUUGUCGGCCGCCGGCUUCUUAGAGGGACUUUUGGCUCAAGCCAAUGGAAGUACGAGGCAAUAACAGGUUAACCUUGAGUUACAACUCAUCACAGGCCUGUAACAGUGAACCUCGUUAAAAAAAAUCACUAGUUGAGUACCUUCAUCUCUCUAGGUGGAAGUCCACCGAACUGUCGGGUAGAGAGAACUCCUUCGGGGGUGUGGUGCCAGCGAGACAACCUGGUUCAGGAGACGCUGACUCUGUAUAGAAUGCCAAUCCUGAGGCGAGCCAAAGUAAACGCUUGGCCGUCGCAACGCGCGCAAAGGUGUCGG